rnacentral:rRNA from 1 species
UACCAGCACCCCGAGUGGUCGGGACGAUUAUUGGGCCUAAAGCAUCCGUAGCCGGCCUUACAAGUCCUCCGUUAAAUCCAGCUGCUUAACAGAUGGGCUGCGGAGGAUACUAUAAGACUAGGAGGCAGGAGAGGCAAGCGGUACUCAGUGGGUAGGGGGUAAAAAUCCGUUGAUCCAUUGAAGACCACCAGUGGCGAAGGCGGCUUGCCAGAAUGCGCUCGACGGUGAGGGAUGAAAGCUGGGGGAGCAAACCAGGG